CUGAAUUACAGCCAGCAGCCAUGACGAACAGAUGAGAAGCAGAUAAGGACAAUUUCUAGUUUUCUCCUCUUGGAUCUGAGUAUCCUGACCAGCUCAAACAAGAAAGGGAAAAUCAGCCUUAGAUGUUGAACCUGUUUCUUCCACUGCCCUGUUAAUUUUGCACAUAAGCUCCAAGCUCUCCUAAGGGUCCCCACAUAUAUAGAAAUCAAUCCCGAUCCCAGGAUGAUGUGGAAAUCUGUGGCGUUGCCUGUUGACUCCUGCAUAAAGAAAGGCAUGAAUUAUACGUGUACGGCCCGUUCUCUGUGUACAUGAGCUGCAUCAUCUGUUAAAGAAAAACUCGCUCAGAAGUGAGUAAUCAGAAUAUAACCCACUAACUCUCACACUAAUGUUAGUAGUGAAAAGGCCCUCCCUCACAUAAAAUCCCUUUAUUGUCUUUGUACAAAUUUUGAGGUGCAAUCAAG
rnacentral:lncRNA from 1 species